CCUGAUCCAGCAAUGCCGCGUGAGUGAUGAAGGCCUUCGGGUUGUAAAGCUCUUUCGCACGCGACGAUGAUGACGGUAGCGUGAGAAGAAGCCCCGGCUAACUUCGUGCCAGCAGCCGCGGUAAUACGAAGGGGGCUAGCGUUGUUCGGAAUUACUGGGCGUAAAGGGCGCGUAGGCGGUUUGUCAAGUCAGGCGUGAAAGCCCCGGGCUCAACCUGGGAACUGCGCUUGAGACUGGCAGGCUCGAGUUCGGGAGAGGAUGGUGGAAUUCCCAGUGUAGAGGUGAAAUUCGUAGAUAUUGGGAAGAACACCGAUGGCGAAGGCAGCCAUCUGGACCAACACUGACGCUGAGGCGCGAAAGCGUGGGGAGCAAACAGGAUUAGAUACCCUGGUAGUCCACGCCGUAAACGAUGAGUGCUAGACGGUCGGGGCCCUCAGGGCUUCGGUGUCGCAGCUAACGCAUUAAGCACUCCGCCGUGGGGAGUACGGCCGCAAAGGUUA
rnacentral:rRNA from 1 species